rnacentral:rRNA from 1 species
GAUGAACGCUAGCGGCAGGCUUAAUACAUGCAAGUCGUGGGGCAGCAGGUUUGUAGCAAUACAGAUGCUGGCGACCGGCAAACGGGUGCGGAACACGUACAGAACCUUCCUUUGAGCGGGGAAUAGCCCAGAGAAAUUUGGAUUAAUACCCCAUAGUAUAAUGAAGUGGCAUCACUUUAUUAUUAAAGAUUUAUCACUCGAAGAUGGCUGUGCGGCUGAUUAGGUAGUUGGUGAGGUAAAGGCUCACCAAGGCGACGAUCUGUAGCGGGUCUGAGAGGAUGAUCCGCCACACUGGAACUGAGACACGGUCCAGACUCCUACGGGAGGCAGCAGUGGGGAAUAUUGGGCAAUGGGCGAAAGCCUGACCCAGCGACGCCGCGUGGGCGAUGAAGGCC